rnacentral:rRNA from 1 species
UACGUAGGGUGCAAGCGUUGUCCGGAAUUAUUGGGCGUAAAGAGCUCGUAGGCGGUUUGUCGCGUCUGCUGUGAAAUCCCGAGGCUCAACCUCGGGUCUGCAGUGGGUACGGGCAGACUAGAGUGUGGUAGGGGAGAUUGGAAUUCCUGGUGUAGCGGUGGAAUGCGCAGAUAUCAGGAGGAACACCGGUGGCGAAGGCGGGUCUCUGGGCCGAUGACUGACGCUGAGGAGCGAAAGCGUGGGGAGCGAACAGG